rnacentral:rRNA from 1 species
GUGCCAGCCGCUGCGGUAAUACGGAGGGUGCAAGCGUUAAUCGGAAUUACUGGGCGUAAAGCGCACGCAGGCGGUCUGUCAAGUCGGAUGUGAAAUCCCCGGGCUCAACCCGGGAACUGCAUUCGAAACUGGCAGGCUGGAGUCUCGUAGAGGGGGUGGAAUUCCAGGUGUAGCGGUGAAAUGCGUAGAGAUCUGGAGGAAUACCGGUGGCGAAGGCGGCCCCCUGGACGAAGACUGACGCUCAGGUGCGAAAGCGUGGGAGCAAACAGGAUUAGAUACCCUGGUAGUCCACGCCGUAAACGAUGUCUAUUGGAGGUUGUGCCCUU